UCCCGUUGGUUGCCGUUAGCAACAGUGGAGCUGAGCACAGAGCGAGUGAGGGAGAGCAUCGGUCACUGUGUUCACGUGCAGUCUGGAAAACUCUGGCUCGGCGGUCCACAAGGCGGUUGACCUCUUAGCCACAGACCCAAGCCUGGGAG